CAUUCAUAAUGAAGAAACAUCCAAUGAUGGAUUAGAUUCAUAAUCUAAUACAUUUACGCUUCCAUUACAUUACUUUGAUUCUUCCUCGAUCUUUGAGGAAUUUAUCCUUUAGUAUUUCUUAAAUACUUAAGGACUCACUUGACAGUUGCCAUGGUUCUGAUCCUGGGCUUGCACUGAUAUCGUCUUGUACCGUUCUAGGUACAACUCAUAUCAAUGUUUUUCAUACAAUAUGAAAUACAUAAAUAACCUUUCUGCGUAUGCAUAAAGGAUUCUAUUUACGCAUUAUUUCUUUGGGAGUCAAAGGGGCACGUUCCCUUUGAGAAUGGCAACUUGCUAGUCUCACUAGAAUCGUCAUUCUUAUUGAAGUUUAUCAUCAUAUGAGAAACUUCCUAGCAUCCAUUGUCUAUUAUUAGGGAUUGAUAUAAUCCAAUUAUAUCAUGAAAUAUAUCAUUAUAGAUUUCCAUCCCAUGUAUAUAGACUAUAUCUCCCAUAUACAUUCUAUCUUCAUAUAAUGUAUUAAAGUCAUAACUUUAACGAAGAAGUAUUCUUUUCAUUUCCAAAAUUAAUAUAUCAUAUAUAUUUAAAUUUUUGGAACAUGAUUAACUCCCACUAAUCUUUUGUAAAACUCGUAAACAAAAGAUUCAUUUACAUUUUUAUGAGAAAUCAAACGAUUUGAUCCUUUUCCUCAUAAAAUGCAAAUAGCUCCCACUUGCUUGCUAAAAUCCAUGAUGGAUGGAUCUCUACAACUUACAUGUCUUGUGAUUUAUAGUUUUAGACAUAUAUUAUCAAGACUAUCUUAAUAAUGGUUUCGGAAACCCAUAUUAUGUCAAAACAUUGAAUCACCAUUUAGUUGUAGCUAGCAAUCUUCGAAUUAAUUGAAACUAAGACUACGUCAAAAAUGGUUCCUUUAAAGUCAACCAUUCUCUUUGAUUGUAGUCACCUUAAGCUACCAAUUAGCUUAUGAAGGUUUCAUUAUUUCGAGUCAAAUGGUACUUUACCAUUUCCUUGAGUAUAUAUCGUAUAUGCACUCAAUGUAGUCAUAAGGAUUUUCAUUCUUAUCGACUACCUUGGAGCUUGUGGUAUAGGAACUAGGUUGUUAUAUUUGUUGAUUACUAUCUUGUCUCUCAAAGAACCCAUUCUUCGAGUUCUAUCUCUCGUUCAUUUGCUCUUAGGCAAAUCACAUUGUAGAAUUACAAUGAACUACCCAACAAAACAACAUUUGUUAAUUGGUUUAUAGAAGCGAUAUCCAAAAGUUAUUUUAAGGAUAUCCUACAAGAUUGUUAUCAAACAAAUAUUGCUUAUUAGCACACAACCCCAAAUCUUUAACAUGCUUAAGAUUUGUCUUUCUUUCCAACUACAUCUUAUGGAGUCAUGAAAAUAUUGGAAGAUCUUCUCAUUGACAAUCAUAUUGUUUUAGAAGUAUAUAUCCUAUAUAUGGGUAAUAGAUAAUAUCUAACGAACUAAAUCUUAUUCAAGUUCGUUCUUCUCCUAAUGGAGAAAUACAUUAUCUUAUGAUGCUUAUUUCCUUGAUAUCUUUCAAGGAAACUGUUCUAAAGUGUUACCUUAUCUUGGAUCAAAUCUAAGGAGGUAAAUACUUUAGACGUCUUACUCAUCAACUUACAUUUCUUGAAUUCUUUGAAACAUUUUGCAAAGUAUUCGGACUUGUGUUUAUUCAAAAUAAACUAUAGUCCAACCGAGAGUGAUCUUCGGUGAAUGUUAAUCAACAUAAGUAGUAUUAUGUUUGUGGACAAGUGCCACUAACAUCUAAGUGAAUUGACCUUAACAACUUUGUGAUUCUUUCUUCUUUCCAAAAGAAUAAAGAUUCGAACAUUUCGCCUCUAUACAAUUUUAACAAGAAGGUAUUGGAUCCGGAUCUAACGAUCCAAAGCGUCCAUUUAUUGACCAACUCGUAAUUUAUGUUUUAGAGGUAUCACAACUUUAGUUGGGAUUAGUCACUACCUUGCAACCUUUU
rnacentral:lncRNA from 1 species